UGUUUAAAAAAAAACCGACAAACAUUCUUGUACGAUGGCUACCCUUUUUCCCGACAUACUUAAAUAACAACCCGUGUGUGGUGGAGAAAUGGGUAACGGCGGGUCGGUGGUGUACAUGUAUCCGUCUAAAAUUCGAUUCACUCACGACAGCAUUGAUUCUUAUUUCAGUGAUGGACAUUCUAUCCCUGAGACAUUUCGUCAAAUUCUGUGGAAAAAAAUAACUGCUGACAAUUUGCCAUUGAUUGAAGUUAUGAACUAUGAAGGGCAGUGGUUUGCUGUACGAGGAAAUAGGAAGCUGUUUCUGUUUAAAGAGUUAGAAAAAAGAGGUGAAUUGUCAAAGGUUAAAGUGCAAAAAAUUGUUUUUGAUCAAUAUCUUUUUCGAACACAGUACACAUCUUCGAAUAAAGGAAAAACUACAUUGAUCCGCGAUUUUCGUCAUUAUGCAAUGAAGCAAGAACUAGAUUUGAUAUGGUCUGAAUACCAGUGUGAUAAGAAUGAAUCAACCAUCGAUACCAUGUACCUUGUGGCUGUAUAUGUGCUGGCUUUAGUAGUUUGGGUAGGCCUACUUCAUAAAUUCAAGCCUCCAUACUGAAUGAAAAUGCAAGUUUUAGAGGGAAACAGUCCAACGUCAUAGAGGAUAAUUAUUUUGUUAUGCUUUGCACUGUGUAAUGAGUUCAGAUUGUUACAAUUGGUAAACAAGUGUAACCGAAGACUACCAUUUGUUUGAAGUUGACAGAAUCUCCUUCAUGGUUCUACCUUCAAAAAGUGCCACACAUGGCAGCAAUUGUUGACCACUGACUACCAUAGUCCACUGAUGACAAUUCAAUGCUGCUGACAGUAAAUCUCAAUGCACCAACGGAACAACUCUGAAUGCACCUAUAAUUUCCUGGGAAAUUAUUCCGGGGAAUCAGACAUGGAUAUGCGUCCGUCUAACAUUCUAUUUACCCACGAUGGCAUUCAUUUUUUAUGAUGGACGUUCUAUCCCAUAUAGUUUUCGUUAAAUUGUAUUGCAAAAUCUUGUAAUCGAGGAUUUGCCUCUAAUGGAGUUGAUGGAUAAUGGAAGAGAAAUAGAAGACUCACGGGAUAAAGAUCUGACAUACAAUCUACUGAAUGUUAACCAAAAAGUCAGUAAAGAUGACUGAAUGGCAUAGCUACCCUUCAGUCACCUUUCAGUAUCCUCUCAGUCACAUUUUAGUAAACUGUAUGUCAGAGCUGCCACAUUUCAGUUGACUGAAUGACAUAGUUUCAUCCUGCAGCUGUUUAUGUUGCAAGAAUUUGAAAAAGAGGCUACUUGCAGAAAGUCAAAGUACAAUUAAAAACGUUUGACUCUACGAACAAUGAGAAUCCGAGGCUCUAGCCGCUAAAAUUCCGCCAUUAGCGAGGAAUUAGUUUGAUAUGGUCAAAGUAUAUGAGUCAUGAGUUUUCUGUCAUGUUGAAAAUGUUGAACUUGUUCCUUUCAAACUGUUUGGGUAUUCUUGGAAAAGUAAUGAAUUAUAUUAACAGUUUAUGCAUAAAUGUAACAUCAUUUAAAUAAUCAUGUACUAUAAAUUAUGAGUUUUUUAGACAUCAAAUAUCUUGCAGAUUAUAGAUACCUUAUGCUAUCCAUUUAAUCAUGAUAUAUCCUGUAAAACAUUUGAAUAUCGAACAAAAAAAUGAAAAAAAAAAUCACUAUUUACCAUUAUAGUUAUCCGAUGUUUUAAAUAGUAUGAUCAAAAUAUUAUUUGCAGUUAUAUAUUAACCUCAGUUAUUAGCUUAGCAUUUUUUUUUUUGGGGGGGGGGGUGUAUUUAAAAUUAUCAAUCUUUCUCAACUCCAAUUAUACUUUUGAUUAAUAAACAUCUUUCUCUUAUAAUGUUUAUCAUUUUGCAUUCGUUGCUGCACGAUGAAAAAAAUCCGAUUUCCUGUAUUGUAUAUUAGAAAUAUUUGAAUAAUACUAUAGUAUUCUAAAACACAC
rnacentral:misc_RNA from 1 species